UUUGUUCACAAAGUCAAAUGUACUUCACAAAACACAUAUCACAUAUGUUCAAGUUAUAAUUACAAUCAGAAGACACAACAAUCUUUCACCAUCCCUGUUGAUCAUAAUCCUCAAAAUCAAAUGUGAGAUUUUCAUUGUCAUUAGUUUCAUCUUCUGAUUCGAAAUCUUCUUCAUCAAGUUCUCGAUCAUUCCUUCUAGUUACUUCAGUACCAAUCUCCUCACUUGUGAUGUUAGAAUCUUGGGAAAGCUCUUCUUCAUCAUCACCCCCUUCAACUAUCCAUCCUUGAGCCAUGCUAGCAUC
rnacentral:lncRNA from 1 species